CUUUGUUAAUCUACCUGAAACUGUAGGGACAGUUUGUUUCUACUCAACUAUACAGACCAUUGUUGAGGAGAUGCAAAACAUACUGUACAUGAGUUGGGUCCAACAUAUACCUUGAGUAAUGUUACUUUGCUGCUAAAAAUGAAACAUCAUUAUCAGAUGAGGACAUCACCAAAGUGUGUGAGCCUGUCAGGGGAUUUGAUCUGUUCUCUGCAUGUCCUAAACACUGCUCUGGUAUUACUUAUCUUGUAACAUGUAAGUCUCCCGCUCUUGUCAUCUUUCAGGCUUUGCAUUUGAACUCCUAUGACUGGUUGCGGACUUGAAGGGAACGCCUUCCUGACAUCCAGGAAAAAGGUGAGAUUAUAAUACAUUUGAAUGCCAAAAGCAAGUUAUUGUUUUUAACUUUUGAAAUAUGAUUGUUUUGGGGCAUUUCAGUUGUAUUGGACAGGCAGUAGAGAUCUACUGGAAACAGUGGAGAGGGAGCAGAUGAUAUGCAGCAUACGGCCCAGCCGGAUGGUUGCUGCUCCGUGUGGAACGUGUCCUAUCAGGUGUAACAUCUACCAAUGGUUGUACAUGACAGAGACCUCCUCCGCCUCUUUGCUGUCUUACUAGUCAAUCCUUCUGAUCAGGUCCUUUCCUAAAUAGUGAAAGGAUCAUGCCAGCCCACAUCAAACACCUGAUCAAGAGCUUGUGAACCUCACUGCUGCAGACACCUGUGUGAUAUUCCACUCUGACUGGAACCCUCAAAAUGACCUGCAGGCUCAAGCUCGGUUCGUCAUCGUUUUGGCCAGUCUAAGGCGGUGGAGGUGUACUGUCUGAUCACUAGAAACUAUGAGAGGGAAAUGC